UCCUACGGGAGGCAGCAGUGGGGAAUUUUGGACAAUGGGCGCAAGCCUGAUCCAGCCAUGCCGCGUGCGGGAAGAAGGCCUUCGGGUUGUAAACCGCUUUUGUCAGGGAAGAAAAGGUUCUGGCUAAUACCUGGGACUCAUGACGGUACCUGAAGAAUAAGCACCGGCUAACUACGUGCCAGCACCCGCGGUAAUA
rnacentral:rRNA from 1 species